CACCUCUCAGGAUCUCACCUGCAGAGUUUUCAAUACUCUACCAGUCUCGGCUAUGGGAGGGACAGUCAACCAGAGGCAUACCCAUUCCAUUCCUAGCUUGGGCAAUAGCUAGUGAGUAGAAGGCAAUCUCCUACAAAU